rnacentral:SRP_RNA from 2 species
GCUGAGCUUAGUAAUGUGGGCUUGUAACCCAAAUGGGGGCAUUAAUGUGGUGGAAUGUUGGGCUGUCCCAGAUGGUUGGGCUUUGGUGGGCUAAUUUCUGGCUUGCCCUAUCCAAGCUCAGAGUUGGAUCACGUGGCCCAAUUGAAGAAAUGGGCUGCUGGAUUCCGAAAGUGGGGUGGACUGCGUGAGGCUGGUUUCACAGAGCAACGAACAGCUCCUGCUCUGAGCAGUGGAAGGAUAACGAGCCGGUGCUUUCUAAGUCCAAUAACGCCUGAUGGGCUGCUCCAAUUAAACCACCAUUUUU